ACGCUAGCUACAGGCUUAACACAUGCAAGUCGAGGGGAAACGGCAUUAAGUGCUUGCACUUUUUGGACGUCGACCGGCGCACGGGUGAGUAACGCGUAUCCAACCUUCCCAUGACUAAGGGAUAACCUGCCGAAAGGCAGACUAAUACCUUAUGGUCUUCACUGACGGCAUCAGAUGUGAAGUAAAGAUUUAUCGGUUAUGGAUGGGGAUGCGUCUGAUUAGCUUGUUGGCGGGGUAACGGCCCACCAAGGCAACGAUCAGUAGGGGUUCUGAGAGGAAGGUCCCCCACAUUGGAACUGAGACACGGUCCAAACUCCUACGGGAGGCAGCAGUGAGGAAUAUUGGUCAAUGGGCGAGAGCCUGAACCAGCCAAGUAGCGUGCAGGAUGACGGCCCUAUGGGUUGUAAACUGCUUUUGUAUGGGGAUAAAGUCAAUCACGUGUGAUUGUUUGCAGGUACCAUACGAAUAAGGACCGGCUAAUUCCGUGCCAGCAGCCGCGGUAAUACGGAAGGUCCGGGCGUCAUCCGGAUUUAUUGGGUUUAAAGGGAGCGUAGGCUGGAGAUUAAGUGUGUUGUGAAAUGUAGACGCUCAACGUCUGACUUGCAGCGCAUACUGGUUUCCUUGAGUACGCACAACGUUGGCGGAAUUCGUCGUGUAGCGGUGAAAUGCUUAGAUAUGACGAAGAACUCCGAUUGCGAAGGCAGCUGACGGGAGCGCAACUGACGCUGAAGCUCGAAGGUGCGGGUAUCGAACAGGAUUAGAUACCCUGGUAGUCCGCACAGUAAACGAUGGAUGCCCGCUGUUGGUACCUGGUAUCAGCGGCUAAGCGAAAGCAUUAAGCAUCCCACCUGGGGAGUACGCCGGCAACGGUGAAACUCAAAGGAAUUGACGGGGGCCCGCACA
rnacentral:rRNA from 1 species